ACGGCAAAAUUUGUCGGUACAGAAAGAUAUAUGAACAUAGUAGGGUGGCACAUGUGUUUGCUACUUUCAGAAAAGCAGGUAGAAGAAGUGAGGAAAUACAAAAGAGGUUAUAAGUUCUGGAAAAUCAAUACAGACGCUAAAAGGAUACCAGACAGCACAGGAUAUGAAGAACUAUUAGAGGAAUUUGGUGUAGAUGUGGUAAAAGGACUCCCAAGGAAUCAGCAAAUUAUCAAAAUGUCGCCUGGCGUCUGCCUGUUGGAGGAAAGGAAGAAAAUUGAUGAUCUAACCUCUCCGUCUAUCUCUCUGCUACGUACAAAAUCUAAUGGAUGAGAAAUCUAAUGGAGUCAGGAUUUGCCUCUAAAAAACAUAACAAUGAACAAAGAAAAAUAACUACAAAACAAACAGAAAACAUUUGAAGUAUAUUAUUGCACUAUUGAACAUAGAAACGCCAGAAAAUGAAAAGAAUAACAUUCCAACAAGCACAAAACAAAAACAGAGAAUAAGAGAUUAAUUUCGACAGAAAAUAUCGCCUUACACAACAAAUCGCUUUAAAGUAAUACCACACAAAACUUUACUCAAAUUACUCCACUGGAAUACAGUAUCUGUUAAAAGACUUAAUGAACACACUGUACGGUCAAUGAACUAUCAUUUGCAAGUGAUUUAUAAAUUGUGAACGACCAGUGUGAAUGAGGCACAACUUAGCUCUUGUUCAAGUAUGUCUCUAGAAGAAGGCUCUACUGUGUUCACAACUGCACCAGCUGUAUAACUAGGCAGAGCGCUGCGCUCGAUAGCCUGAGAAAGAAUCAAGACAAUGGGAAAUACAACUUUCAGUACAAACCUUCAUUGACUAUGAGUGCCUGCGAAAAAGUGAAGACUACUCUGACAAUAAAUCGGUCGGAAAUGAACUCAG